AACAUAGUCGCUCUUGAAAGCGUUAAGUUGGCGUUACAGGCAGUUCGCUGACUCCGAAUCGAGUACAUCUUUGGUACGAAAAGAAUCAAGCAAGCUCUUAUAGUCUUUAACGUCAAUUCUGUUGAAUCCUUAAGUGAAAGUAAUCAACUGCUUUUUCGCGGUCCACGGCAAACGUGUUCGAAGUACGCUGUUUUUUAAGAAUAGAAAAUCCUAGGCUAAGUUAUGGACUUGCAAGUCGCGAAUCGAGGAAGGCCAUCACCGCCGGCUGCCGACAGAAGAAAAAGCAAAAAUCCUCUUCUCGCCGAACAUCAAACGAAGAAAAGCAAGUGACGAAGAAGAAGAGCGGAGAUAUGCGAGAAAAGGCGUUCGUACGACGGGGCGAUGACGAGGCUGUAGUGGCAUAGAGGUCGCGAACUCUAGGAAUCUUUGCAAUGGUACGUUCCACCAGCGGCAGCAAACGCAUGCAGUUCGUGGACCGAGACUUCAGCACCGCCAUGAAUAUCAGACGAUGUAUGAUGCUGAAGAAGAGAACUGAGGAGCUGACGCGAUCCAACGUCGUGGUGCAGCCUCUCAGGCUCGAAGUGUGCCUGCGUAAACUGAAACCGAUAGCAGUGGUCCGGUCACAAAAGUCUGGGAGACGUCUGCGCGUGGGUGUAUCUGUAUACACUCUAUGGUCGUUGAACGUUUAUCUUUUUGCCGAUCACAAACAGAGACUGCGUGAAUACGUUACGGGGCUGGCGCUGCGGAUGAGCCAACUUCCAUACGAGCUCGAUGGAAGGGCCCGGAGACAAGGACACCGCAGCGUUCCAAUGCACUCUGUAGGGUUUGUAACCCAACCUGUCUUUCACACAAUGAACACAUUUCCCACCAUGCUCCACCAGAUACGUAUCUUUGUUUCCAAUUUUUAAGAGACUUUGCAACAGAUGCUGGAUGCAUCCAAUUUUCUUUCCGUCAACAGGAGCUCGCUCGCAUCAAUUCCCGGUACACACACAUCCAUCGCAGUGCUGUUAGAGCGGCUGAUGCGAUUUUUAAUUUCGGUAAUGAAGAUGUUUCAAGCCGAUGUGAUCCUCCAAAGCAAAAUGUCUUACAGAGUCCAUUGCUGUGGGCCUGAAACCAACAACGCCUGCUUGACUGGUCGAAUAACAGGGUAGAGGUGAGCGCGCCAUCAACUCGCAUCUUGCGAAAGUUCUCCCCGCACCCGGAAUUCGAAAACCAAGCGCAUCACUGGUCGAACAGGCACCGAAACUCCGGCAAGGACAGCAAGAUGUUAGAUGUUGGAAUGUCACCUUUGGCGUCGGUGACUCACGUGGGCAACGGCAGGUAUUUGCACCUGCUGCGCAUAAAUUCUUGCCAUUUUACUCGAUGCAUUAGAGAAG